rnacentral:piRNA from 1 species
UCCAUUCAGCUCUUUCCAGCCACAGC